rnacentral:tRNA from 1 species
GGAGGUGGAUGGGUGCUGGUGUGCCUGCUGGACUUCAAAUCCAGAUGUCUCGAGUUCGGGACGGUAGGUUCGAUUCCUACACGCCUCCGCCA